ensembl:lncRNA
UGUGCUAAAUUUAUUUUUGUAAUUGUAUGGAUGAACAGACUUCCCCAAUGCUUAGUAUGUCCUUUUUAAUGAUACUUGCCUUCCAUCCUAUUUCUCCCAUCUCUUCCUCUCUAGGCCAUGGUCUUUCCAGUGGUUGGUACAGAAGUGGACUUCUGGUACAGAAGUGGACUUCAGCUCCUCUUGAUAUUCUGACACUGCUCUUCAGGGUUAUGUAUGCUGUGAAUGGGUGCCACCACUACCAGAUCGGUCCUUAUGCAGGAAGUGCAAUGGCCCAUCAUGGAGGGACUUGGGCAGGACCAGCUUGAAGAAAGAAUACUGUCUGACUGUUGCCUAAUCAUUUGCUGACCAGAUGAGACUCCUUAAGUUGAAGUGGCAUCAGCAUACUGUUGUCCUUGAUGCUCACCAUUUCUAUGUACUGUCACCAUUAAAGUCAUAAAUUGUUUACAAUUUUUACUGUUGCCAUCAGUGUUGCUUUUGCUUGCAUACUCAACUGCAGAAAUAUUACUUGAAAGCACUGAUUUUCAAAUGUAUUUCAUUUACCAAUCUAACUACCAAAAAUGAAU